rnacentral:rRNA from 1 species
UACGGAGGAUCCGAGCGUUAUCCGGAUUUAUUGGGUUUAAAGGGAGCGUAGGCGGGCUGUUAAGUCAGUUGUGAAAGUUUGCGGCUCAACCGUAAAAUUGCAGUUGAUACUGGCAUCCUUGAGUACAGUAGAGGUAGGCGGAAUUCGUGGUGUAGCGGUGAAAUGCUUAGAUAUCACGAAGAACUCCGAUUGCGAAGGCAGCCUGCUGGACUGUAACUGACGCUGAUGCUCGAAAGUGUGGGUAUCAAACAGG